UCAAGUACCGUGAGGGAAAGUUGCAAAGUACUCUGAAAAGAGAGUGAACAAGCCUGUGAAACUGUGCAUUGCAAAGCGAAUGAUAGAAAGUGCGAACUCAACGUUCAAUCACUCGUUUGUUCCUAUAUGAUUGUUUUUCUUAGAAUAACAACGAGUGGCUUGUUCAAAGAGUUUCGUUUAUGCAACACCUGUCAAUUGCGGUUAUCAAUUUGAGAAUGGGUAUUUUAUAAUACUUGUUGUUCAUUGUGUUAUUGCAUUUUGCAUAACAGCGGACAUGACUGGUGUUUAUUGAUUACUUGGUAUGAUGAAUUCAUUUAUACUGUUGAUGUAUAAUAAGAAUUAUCAAGUUUGAUUGGUGCAUGAGCUUUAAAAUCUGUCAUCUGAACCGUCUUGAAACACGGACUAAGGAGUUCAACUUGAGCGCAAGUCGACUACGUGAAUAAAGUUUGGGGCAAAGUGAAAGCAAUUUCAUAAAUGUUAACGGAAAUUCAAUUUGAAUUACGGUUAGCACAUGAUCUGGGUAGCAAUUUUUUAAUUGCUUACUGCAACAGAGCGCUUUGGUUGUGACCCGAAAGAUGGUGAACUAUGCCUGAUUAGGAUGAAGCCAGGGGAAACCCUGGUGGAGGUCCGCAACGAUUUUGACGUGCAAAUCAAUCGCCAGAGUUGGGUAUAGCGGCGAAAGACUAAUCGAACCAUCUAGUUGCUGGUUCCGUUCGAAGUUUCCCUCAGGAUAGCUGGKGGAAUGACAGAUUUUAAAGCUCAU
rnacentral:rRNA from 1 species